rnacentral:rRNA from 1 species
CCUGGCUCACGUUGAGGGCUAGCUACAGGCUUAACACAUGCAAGUCGAGGGGCAGCAUUUCAGUUUGCUUGCAAACUGGAGAUGGCGACCGGCGCACGGGUGAGUAACACGUAUCCAACCUGCCGAUAACUCGGGGAUAGCCUUUCGAAAGAAAGAUUAAUACCCGAUGGCAUAAUUAGACCGCAUGGUCUUAUUAUUAAAGAAUUUCGGUUAUCGAUGGGGAUGCGUUCCAUUAGGCAGUUGGUGAGGUAACGGCUCACCAAACCUUCGAUGGAUAGGGGUUCUGAGAGGAGGGUCCCCCACAUUGGAACUGAGACACGGUCCAAACUCCUACGGGAGGCAGCAGUGAGGAAUAUUGGUCAAUGGGCGCAGGCCUGAACCAGCCAAGUAGCGUGAAGGAUGACUGCCCUAUGGGUUGUAAACUUCUUUUAUAUGGGAAUAAAGUUUUCCACGUGUGGAAUUUUGUAUGUACCAUAUGAAUAAGGAUCGGCUAACUCCGUGCCAGCAGCCGCGGUAAUACGGAGGAUCCGAGCGUUAUCCGGAUUUAUUGGGUUUAAAGGGAGCGUAGGUGGAUAGUUAAGUCAGUUGUGAAAGUUUGCGGCUCAACCGUAAAAUUGCAGUUGAUACUGGCUGUCUUGAGUACAGUAGAGGUGGGCGGAAUUCGUGGUGUAGCGGUGAAAUGCUUAGAUAUCACGAAGAACUCCGAUUGCGAAGGCAGCUCACUGGACUGCAACUGACACUGAUGCUCGAAAGUGUGGGUAUCAAACAGGAUUAGAUACCCUGGUAGUCCACACAGUAAACGAUGAAUACUCGCUGUUUGCGAUAUACAGUAAGCGGCCAAGCGAAAGCAUUAAGUAUUCCACCUGGGGAGUACGCCGGCAACGGUGAAACUCAAAGGAAUUGACGGGGGCCCGCACAAGCGGAGGAACAUGUGGUUUAAUUCGAUGAUACGCGAGGAACCUUACCCGGGCUUAAAUUGCAUUUGAAUAAUCUGGAAACAGGUUAGCCGUAAGGCAAAUGUGAAGGUGCUGCAUGGUUGUCGUCAGCUCGUGCCGUGAGGUGUCGGCUUAAGUGCCAUAACGAGCGCAACCCUUAUCUUUAGUUACUAACAGGUUAUGCUGAGGACUCUAGAGAGACUGCCGUCGUAAGAUGUGAGGAAGGUGGGGAUGACGUCAAAUCAGCACGGCCCUUACGUCCGGGGCUACACACGUGUUACAAUGGGGGGUACAGAAGGCAGCUACCUGGUGACAGGAUGCUAAUCCCAAAAGCCUCUCUCAGUUCGGAUCGAAGUCUGCAACCCGACUUCGUGAAGCUGGAUUCGCUAGUAAUCGCGCAUCAGCCAUGGCGCGGUGAAUACGUUCCCGGGCCUUGUACACACCGCCCG